CUUUUAUGUAUGCAUAUCACAAAACAAGCAGAACAAGAUACAUAUUUAAUUGCUCAAAAUAAGUUACAAUGGUGCCCCCCCCCCCCGCAACCAAACAAAUACACACUCAACUUCCCAAGUUCGCCGUGGGUGCCCUUCCUAUCUCAGUGGCCUGACAAACUCUGACAGGCUAGGUCAGGUCAACUCGAAAACGGCCUCAAAAACACAGGAAUCAGGGUCAGAAAAGAGAAAAAGAAAGAAACUGAGAGAUGAGGCCCGUCCAUCACUGUCAGGGUCUAUUCUGAGAUAUGUGCAAGGAGAAGCAUGUGACCAAGACAAAGAUGCAGACGAGGAGCAACCGUUUUGCAGUUGUGAAGUGCCAAGGUCGCUGGAGGGACCUAAGGGACCAAUUUUCUAAAAGAAAGGUUCAACCACGGAGUGGAUCGGCAGCAGGACCGCAAAAGGAGUGGAAGUACUCUCAAGCCCUUUCCUUCCUUGCUCCCCACCUUCAACCCAGGAGGUACAGGGCAAACACUGAAAGGCAAUAAGUAAGUAACUCUAGAAGCAGCCUAGACCAGGUUGAUGCUGAAGAUUGGGAAGCAUUGGACCUGAGCCAUGGAGAGGAUGUCCGGGAUGAAAAUGACCAACAGGCAGCUGAUAAACAUUUUCAACCUGGUUCUUCAACCAGUAGGGUAUGGCUGUGCAAUUGUUUUCAAAAUUUAAUAAAUGUGUUAAAUAAUUGUAAUUUCAAUGUUUAUUAAAAUAAUCGUGAUUAUCAUUUAUUUUCCAUAAUCAAGCAGCCCUACAACAGACCUGCCCCGUGCAAGAGGGCCUCAGCAGCGGUGUCAUUGGAGGAUAGGCUGCUGGCUAUGGUCCAGGAGCCUCCACAACCAAUGUUCCAUCGUGUGCCACAAGAUGAAGAUGAAAUGUUGCAUUUUGCCCUCAGUCUGGUGCCGUUGUUAAAUAAAUUAAGUGGCUGGGGUAAAUUAAGGGCAAAAAUUGCCCUCUUAGAGAGUCUCCAGGGUGUCCAUGACCUGGACCAAGGGCACCGGCAGGCGCAGAUGCAGGGCCCUGGUCUAAUGAGGCCAUGGGAUCAGACAUCCCAGUCAUCCCACCAGAGCCACCCGAGUCAAGGAUAUGCACCACCCUCGCAUGCACAUAGGUACAGACCAAGAAGUGAGGAGACUUGGGGGGAAUGUGGUGAAAAUAUUGUGCCUUCACCCAUCCCUCACUUUACAGAC